AUCAACUUUCGAUGGUAGGAUAGAGGCCUUCCAUGGUUGUAACGGGUAACGGGGAAUUAGGGUUCGAUUCCGGAUAGGGAGCCUGAGAAACGGCUACCACUUCCAAGGAAGGCAGCAGGCGCGCAAAUUACCCAAUCCCGACACGGGGAGGUAGUGACAAUAAAUAACAAUACGGGGCUCUUUCGGGUCUCGUAAUUGGAAUGAGUACAAUUUAAAUCCCUUAACGAGGAACAAUUGGAGGGCAAGUCUGGUGCCAGCAGCCGCGGUAAUUCCAGCUCCAAUAGCGUAUAUUAAAGUUGUUGCAGUUAAAAAGCUCGUAGUUGAAUUUCGGGAUUGACCUGCCGGUCAUGCCUUAAGGGGUAUGAACUGUUACUGUUGAUUUCACACCUUCUGGAGAAACUUGAUGUCCUUUAUUGGGUGUCUUGCGGAUCCAGGACCUUUACCUUGAAAAAAUUAGAGUGUUUAAAGCAGGCAUUUUUGCUCGAAUACAUUAGCAUGGAAUAAUAGAAUAGGACGGCAUGGUUCUAUUUUGUUGGUUUCUAGGAUCACCGUAAUGAUUAAUAGGGAUAGUUGGGGGCAUUAGUAUUCAAUUGUCAGAGGUGAAAUUCUUGGAUUUAUUGAAGACUAACUACUGCGAAAGCAUUUGCCAAGGAUGUUUUCAUUAAUCAAGAACGAAAGUUAGGGGAUCGAAGACGAUCAGAUACCGUCGUAGUCUUAACCAUAAACUAUGCCGACUAGGGAUCGGACGAAGUUAAUUUUAUAAUGACGCGUUCGGCACCUUACGGGAAACCAAAGUGUUUGGGUUC
rnacentral:rRNA from 1 species